UACGGAGGGUGCAAGCGUUAUCCGGAUUCACUGGGUUUAAAGGGUGCGUAGGUGGGCAGGUAAGUCAGUGGUGAAAUCUCCGGGCUUAACUCGGAACGGUCAAGUGAUACUGUCGGACUAGAGUACAGAAGGGGCAACUGGAAUUCUCGGUGUAGCGGUGAAAUGCGUAGAUAUCGAGAGGAACACCUGCGGCGAAGGCGGGUUGCUGGGCUGAUACUGACGCUGAUGCGCGAAAGCCAGGGGAGCGAACGGG
rnacentral:rRNA from 1 species